AUUGAACGCUGGCGGAAUGCUUUACACAUGCAAGUCGAACGGCAGCACGGGUGCUUGCACCUGGUGGCGAGUGGCGAACGGGUGAGUAAUGCACCGGAACGUAUCCAAUAAUGGGGGAUAACGCACCGAAAGGUGUGCUAAUACCGCAUACGCCCUGAGGGGGAAAGCGGGGGAUCGUAAGACCUCGCGUUAAUGGAGCGGCCGAAUGCCGGAUUAGCUAGUUGGUGAGGUAAAGGCUCACCAAGGCGACGAUCCGUAGCUGGUCUGAGAGGACGACCAGCCACACUGGAACUGAGACACGGUCCAGACUCCUACGGGAGGCAGCAGUGGGGAAUUUUGGACAAUGGGCGCAAGCCUGAUCCAGCCAUGCCGCGUGAGUGAAGAAAGGCCUUCGGGUUGG
rnacentral:rRNA from 1 species